ACUAUGGCUAUACCACCCUGAAUGUGCUGGAUCUCGUCUGAUCUCAAAAGCUAAGCAGGGUUGGGCCUGGUUAGUAUUUGGAUGGGAGAAAGAUAAGAUAAAGUAAGGACUAUGAGAG
rnacentral:rRNA from 1 species